rnacentral:lncRNA from 1 species
AUGACCAGCAGGCCUGGCUACAGGCAGCAAGCACCAAACCCCAUUCCAGAUGCCAGGAAAGGCACACACAGGCCUGGCGCAGGUGGGCUGUCUUCUGGCCGCUCCCUGGGUGGACUGGUCUUGGAGACUGGACGGAGUGCUCAAUGUCAGGAGGAAGCCACGACUCACUCACUGGAGAACACGAGAGACAGCCGGCGCCGCCCCGAGGAGUGAGCGGAGGAUCUGCCUGGAGCUAGCCAGCCUCAUGGCCUGGACAGACACCUCAGUGAGCCUGUGAUCAGGGCCCUCGGAGCAGAGCCAGCUGCAGGGAGGCAAGUCAGGAGGCCUUUCCUUGAGGCCAGGAGAGAAGAACAAGCCAGCAGGAGGGCAGGACAGACUCCAGAGACACUCGUUGAGAAAACUGGCUUCAGCUCCAGAGUGGGGGGCAGAGGGGCUGCUCCGCCUGGGCAGCGUGGGGACUGCUGCCGGCCGGGAAGCUGCCAAGAGCCCGGGAGAGGAGGGCAGAGGGCACAGCACUCCUUCUUCAUAGACAGCAGGGACAAAGGUGGAGGGUGACUACGUCACUCUCGAUUCCCCGCCUUUCUGGGAAGGCCUCAUCAUGAAACAUUUUCGGCAUCAUAAUACUGGCUUAUAAAUGUUCGUAUACCCAAUUCCCAAACCAUUGAUUAAUUUAUUAAAGCUAUGAUUUACGUAAGGAUGAGCAUUUAAUUAGAGAAGAGCUUCUACCAUUUCACCAACCCAGGCAGUGGGGAAGGGGUGGAAAGGGGCGGCUGCUGUCCCAGGGGCAGUCCUUGGUGUCCUCCUGGUCCAGGCUUUCUUCCCUCCCUUCACUGGCCUCCAGAGCCAGGUGCUGCGCUGCCUGCACUAGAAGCCCUGCCCUAGGCUGUGCUGAGCAUGCGCACACACCCCCCACAGCAGGGCUCCCGCGUCAGUGGCCUCACUCCACCCUGCUCUCCCAGCGAGCCUGCUGUCCAUAGUCUGGCAGGUCUCCUCUUCACGUUCAGUGACACAACUGCUCGGCGCAUUAUAGAGGCCUCUGAAAGGCUAUGUGUUCACGAUCCUCCCAUGGAGGGGCUCAGAGGAGCGGCCUAAGAGGAGAUGCCUGCACUGUGCAGGAAAGAGGGGCUCCCUGCAGAGCCAGUGCCGUUGGUGGGGCUCAGGCUCCCAGGGUAGGGGCAGGAGUGGUCUCCACAGUGCACAUUUGCACGUAUGUUAGGACGAGGCUAUGGGGCACAGAGGGGCCAUUUGCCCUGCCUGGAGACUGGUCUAGGGUUGCAGGGCCCACAUGUACUGCAUGCCCCCAAAAGGGUCAGGGGAAGGCUUCCUCCAUCCCCUUGGGGCCACAGCCUCCUACUUGCCUAGGGAAACAUGGCUCUUGGAGGCCCAGGGAGGCCACUACCCUGCUGAGCAGGCAGGCCCCAAACUAAGGUGGAGACCACAGCGAUCGCAGCAGGGCAGCAGAAGCUGGUCUCAGGCUGGUGGGUGAAAGCUGAGGUUACUGGCAGUUGCCAUGGCAUGGUGAGAUUGCCAGGAUGAGGGCCCACUUGAAGAACAUGCCUGCACUGCCCUAGAGCUGCAUCUUCCUGGCAGCAGAAUGUCAGGGGAACCAGGCCUCCCCGCUUCAAGUGGGACAAAUGUAUGAGCCUGGGGGGCAGGUGGGGAGGGCCCUGCAGGGUGCCUGGGCAGCCUGUGGAGGAACAGCGGGGAUUCCCUUCGCACCGGGUGUAGCCAGCUGCACGGCAUUAACAGCCACUUGUCCUUCAGAACUUUGCUCUUCAGGUGGGGUCUGGGGUGAGGAAACCCAGUAACCCAGGAUUUGCACAAGGAAAGUAGCUUCCUGUGGCUUGGCUUCUUACGAGUGUCUAAAAGAACCGUCCUGGUACCGCUAGGCCACAAAAUGUUCAGAAAACACUGCAAGAGACACUGGGACACUCUAAAGCCAGGCCCAGAGAAGGAAUGCCGAGGAGAGAGAGGAGGAAUGCCAAAGAGAGGCCCAGCGGGAAGGGGUUCUGCCCAGCACCCUCUGCCUGGUCCCGGGCUCCCUGUGCAGGGAGCUAUGCCAGUGUGCUGAGGGUGUUCGAUGAGGACAGCAGCUCACAAUUGCAGAAGCCACGGACUCCUGGAGAAAUGGACCACGCACCUUCUCCCCAGCAAAGUGUCCUCUCUCCAAAGAGCUUUGAAUCUCAGAGAAUCUGAAGGCCCCCACCACGUGGGGCCCAUCCAGAGCCCUGGCCCAGAGCAGCAGAGGACAGGCUUAUACCCCUGCUCUGGAGUUGUGAAACCGUGGCACCCUGGAGUUGUGAAAUGCCAUCUCAAACUCGGCCAAUGGCCCUUCCAUCCCUGUCCCAGCUCCUACACUAGCUCUUUCCAUUAUAAGGAGGCCGGGAAGUAAUCCAGCUUCACCUGGUAAGUUCGACCUGUGAAAUGUGGGAAGACACAAGUCAGACACAACACCUUCUGUCCACACCGCUGGCACAAGGCUUCCAGUUGGGCAGAGCUGCUAGGGGGCACGGGGACAGAGGUGGAGCUCCUCCAUCCAGCCCCCAAAGGAGCCUGGGCAUGACCGUGGGUACUCAGAGCAGGCUGCCUCCUGAGGGACCAGAAGUCAAGCGUGCGACGGGCUGCGGGGCGGAGAGGCCACUCUGCCUCCAGGGACACACACUCUCCCAGGCCCACUUCCCUGUGGCCAAGGAGGAAAGCCGAGCAGGCACCUUUGAGUUGCACACAACGGACACACAGCACAGAGCCCACCCAGCCUGAGUAUUUACCAUCCGCCUUUCAUGGAAAUGCCGGCACCUGCUCCAGAGGAUACAGGAAUGACAGGGAUGGAGGACGGGAGGGACUCCCAGCCUGCGGGGAGGCUCCUGCAUGUGCCCAGCAGACUUUCAGCAGGGCUGGGCUGCAGGAGUGCCCAGCAUUUCCCAUUUCAGCUCCACUGGAAAGUGCGGCUGGUUCAAGUUGUUGCGAACUGAUCCCACCCAUGUAUACUGGGGUGGGAGGGCAGUGGGCAGCUUCUCGGCUCAGGUUUCCAGAGCACGAGGGGGCAGAUCCAGAGCGAGAGUAACUCACCGUAUUAAGAGUCUGGGCAUUAAGCCUGGUGCCAUGAAGGGACCAGACUUUGGGGCCAUCUUCCUUGGGUAGGGUUUAUUUUGCAUGGGGAAAGCUGGGAAGCAAAUAUUUGUGACCAGAAGGGCAAAUGAUGGUGACUGAAUUACUGCUCAUGCAUAUUCACUGCCUGUCCCUGGGAGAGGCCUACACUUCCCACCCCCUGAAGUCUUGGCCAGUUGGCGUCUCUUGUGGGAAGAAUAACUCCCGUCCUGCGGGUGGUUGUCUGUGCUCUCACUGCUCUGCUCCAACACCAACGACACUCCAGAUGGGGACUGCACUAGUUGCUUGGGAAGGGGUUGAAGACAAGAGCCACAGCUGACACAGGUGAACAGGAAAUAAACUUGUCUAUGUAUCAGCC